GGCGAUGUUUCAGUCGUCUUGGUGAAGCAUCUUCAGCGGUAAGUUCCUCGUCACAGAAGUCAAACUAGCCAAGAAGCCUGUGUGAGAAUCCUGUCAAAGCAGAAUACAAACGGUCAACAUGGACAAAAAACUGAUUUGUGUUCUUUUUCUGAUGGUGCUUGCUGUUGCAAAGAUGGACGCUGGAAACCCUCCGCAAAAUGCGGGUAUGAGACGGGUUGGGAAAAGAAACUCUAGGUUUCAGCUCAUCAAAGUGAAGAGACAGUUAUGCGCACGCGCCAGGGCUGCCUGUGACGCGGUGAACGAUGACCGAGACAUCCUGGCCGACUUUGAAACUGAAGAAAUGUGAAGAGGAGACAGAGAGAAAGAAAGA